rnacentral:rRNA from 1 species
GAUGAACGCUGGCGGCGUGCCUAAUACAUGCAGGUCGAGCGAACAGACGAGGAGCUUGCUCCUCUGACGUUAGCGGCGGACGGGUGAGUAACACGUGGAUAACCUACCUAUAAGACUGGGAUAACUUCGGGAAACCGGAGCUAAUACCGGAUAAUAUAUUGAACCGCAUGGUUCAAUAGUGAAAGACGGUUUUGCUGUCACUUAUAGAUGGAUCCGCGCCGCAUUAGCUAGUUGGUAAGGUAACGGCUUACCAAGGCAACGAUGCGUAGCCGACCUGAGAGGGUGAUCGGCCACACUGGAACUGAGUCACGGUCCAGACUCCUACGGGAGGCAGCAGUAGGGAAUCUUCCGCAAUGGGCGAAAGCCUGACGGAGCAACGCCGCGUGAGUGAUGAAGGUCUUCGGAUCGUAAAACUCUGUUAUUAGGGAAGAACAAAUGUGUAAGUAACUAUGCACGUCUUGACGGGACCUAAUCAGAAAGCCACGGCUAACUACGU